AAUCAUCUCAUUGAUCUUCUUAAUUGUCUGUGCCCUUAGGUUCCUCCCACUUUUUUGCACUUUGGAGUCUAGAGCUGACCCUUUCAGAUCUGACCCAGGGAGCUGCCAUCCUGCUGUCCUUUUCUGUCUGGUGGCCCUGAGUGAUGGGAUCUGACACAUUUGCCAUGCCCACAGGGAUCAGGCUAUGGGUGUAGCGUGGAGGACGCAGAAUUUUUCUGCAUGCAAUCAUGCCAGAUGUUCAGACUAAUGAUGCUGAUUUUGCAUCCCCCCUCUCCUAGCUGCCCUCCCAGCCAGGCCAGGCCCUGGCCAUGGUCAUACCCUGUGGGCCUGUGAAACGUGAACUGAAGCACAACAGACAUCUCCUGAAACAAAGAAUAAAACCAAACUCAACAGAAAGGUACCUUAAAUAGCAUGACGUGAAAUACAAUUUACAAGGAUAAUCAAACAAAAGGUUUAAAAUGGGGCUUACCUUAGGCUUUCCCUUAAAU